UUUUAGUGCAUAUUUAUAAAAAAGUUAGAGAUUUGGUCAUUGAAUAUGAGCAAAAAACCUGUGAAACAAAUUUGGGAGAAACUGUUUUUUGUGAAUAUUACAUUACACCAAAUGAAUAUGUUGCUUUUUUGAAUAGAGUCUUUAAAGUUAAAAAUCGUUCUUAAUGUUUUGUUUGAAUUAUAGUAAUUAUACUUUUUAUUAUUAUUUAAAUAUAAAUUAAAUUUUUGAUUUUCCUUAAUUGAUUAUCAGCUCCGGUGACA